rnacentral:tRNA from 1 species
UGGCUCAGAUGGUAAAGCAUCUGCUUGCAAUGCAGGAGACCUGGGUUCGAUCCCUG